GACGAACGCUGGCGGCGCGCUUAACACAUGCAAGUCGAGCGAAGCGGCGGACGGGUGAGUAACACGUGAGUACACGGCCUUAGACAUUGGGAUAGCAUCGGGAAACCGGGAUUAAUACCAAAUGGUAUAAGAUGGACUCGCGUCCCAUUAGCUAGUUGGUGGGUAACGGCCCACCAAGGCGACGCUGGGUAGCCGGCCGGAGAGGGUGAACGGCCACAUUGGAACUGAGAGACGGUCGAAACUCUACGGGAGGUAGCAGUGGGGAAGAUUGCACAAUGGAGGGAACUCGGAGGCAGCGACGCCGCGUGAACGAAGAAGGCUUUCGAGUCGUAAAGUUCUUUUAUAUGGGAAGCGGUACCAUAAGAAAAAGCCCCGGCUAACUACGUGCCAGCAGCCGCGGUAAUAC
rnacentral:rRNA from 1 species